rnacentral:rRNA from 1 species
GGCUUACCAAGGCGACGAUCAGUAGCCGACCUGAGAGGGUGAUCGGCCACAUUGGAACUGAGACACGGUCCAAACUCCUACGGGAGGCAGCAGUGGGGAAUAUUGCACAAUGGGCGAAAGCCUGAUGCAGCAACGCCGCGUGAGUGAUGAAGGCCUUCGGGUCGUAAAACUCUGUCCUCAAGGAAGAUAAUGACGGUACUUGAGGAGGAAGCCCCGGCUAACUACGUGCCAGCAGCCGCGGUAAUACGUAGGGGGCUAGCGUUAUCCGGAUUUACUGGGCGUAAAGGGUGCGUAGGCGGUCUUUCAAGUCAGGAGUGAAAGGCUACGGCUCAACCGUAGUAAGCUCUUGAAACUGGGAGACUUGAGUGCAGGAGAGGAGAGUGGAAUUCCUAGUGUAGCGGUGAAAUGCGUAGAUAUUAGGAGGAACACCAGUUGCGAAGGCGGCUCUCUGGACUGUAACUGACGCUGAGGCACGAAAGCGUGGGGAGCAAACAGGAUUAGAU